GGAUUAGAUACCCUGGUAGUCCACGCCGUAAACGAUGUCAACUAGUUGUUCGUGUCUUUAAGACGUGAGUAACGCAGCUAACGCACUAAGUUGACCGCCUGGGGAGUACGGCCGCAAGGUUAAAACUCAAAUGAAUUGACGGGGGCCCGCACAAGCGGUGGAGCAUGUGGUUUAAUUCGAUGCAACGCGAAGAACCUUACCAUCCCUUGACAUCCAGUGAACUUUCUAGAGAUAGAUUGGUGCCUUCGGGAACACUGAGACAGGUGCUGCAUGGCUGUCGUCAGCUCGUGCCG
rnacentral:rRNA from 1 species